AGUGAACGCUGGCGGUAGGCCUAACACAUGCAAGUCGAACGGCAGCACAGUAAGAGCUUGCUCUUACGGGUGGCGAGUGGCGGACGGGUGAGGAAUACAUCGGAAUCUACUUUUUCGUGGGGGAUAACGUAGGGAAACUUACGCUAAUACCGCAUACGCCCUACGGGUGAAAGCAGGGGAUCUUCGGACCUGGCGCGUUGGAAUGAGCCGAUGUCGGAUUAGCUAGUUGGCGGGGUAAUGGCCUACCAAGGCGUUGAUGGGUAGCUGGUAUGAGAGGGUGACCGGCCACAUUGGGACUGAGAUAAGGCACAGACUCCUACGGGGGGCAGAAGUGGGGAAUAUUGCACAAUGGGCGGAAGCCUAAUGCAGCAACGCCGCGUGCGGGAUGACGGCCUUCGGGUUGUAAACCGCUUUCGCCUGUGACGAAGCGUGAGUGACGGUAAUGGGUAAAGAAGCACCGGCUAGCUACGUG
rnacentral:rRNA from 1 species